rnacentral:rRNA from 1 species
GGUUAAGCGACUAAGCGUACACGGUGGAUGCCCUGGCAGUCAGAGGCGAUGAAGGACGUGCUAAUCUGCGAAAAGCGUCGGUAAGGUGAUAUGAACCGUUACAGCCGGCGAUGUCCGAAUGGGGAAACCCAGUGCAAUUCGUUGCACUAUCGUUAACUGAAUACAUAGGUUAACGAGGCGAACCGGGGGAACUGAAACAUCUAAGUACCCCGAGGAAAAGAAAUCAACCGAGAUUCCCCCAGUAGCGGCGAGCGAACGGGGAGCAGCCCAGAGUCUGAAUCAGCUUGUGUGUUAGUGGAACGGUCUGGAAAGUCCGACGGUACAGGGUGAUAGUCCCGUACACCAAAAUGCACAGGCUGUGAACUCGAAGAGUAGGGCGGGACACGUGGUAUCCUGUCUGAAUAUGGGGGGACCAUCCUCCAAGGCUAAAUACUCCUGACUGACCGAUAGUGAACCAGUACCGUGAGGGAAAGGCGAAAAGAACCCCGGCGAGGGGAGUGAAAAAGAACCUGAAACCGUGUACGUACAAGCAGUGGGAGCACCUUCGGGUGUGACUGCGUACCUUUUGUAUAAUGGGUCAGCGACUUAUAUUCUGUAGCAAGGUUAACCGUAUAGGGGAGCCGCAGGGAAACCGAGUCUUAACUGGGCGUUAAGUUGCAGGGUAUAGACCCGAAACCCGGUGAUCUAGCCAUGGGCAGGUUGAAGGUUGGGUAACACUAACUGGAGGACCGAACCGACUAAUGUUGAAAAAUUAGCGGAUGACUUGUGGCUGGGGGUGAAAGGCCAAUCAAACCGGGAGAUAGCUGGUUCUCCCCGAAAGCUAUUUAGGUAGCGCCUCGUGAACUCAUCUUCGGGGGUAGAGCACUGUUUCGGCUAGGGGGUCAUCCCGACUUACCAACCCGAUGCAAACUACGAAUACCGAAGAAUGUUAUCACGGGAGACACACGGCGGGUGCUAACGUCCGUCGUGAAGAGGGAAACAACCCAGACCGCCAGCUAAGGUCCCAAAGUCAUGGUUAAGUGGGAAACGAUGUGGGAAGGCACAGACAGCCAGGAUGUUGGCUUAGAAGCAGCCAUCAUUUAAAGAAAGCGUAAUAGCUCACUGGUCGAGUCGGCCUGCGCGGAAGAUGUAACGGGGCUAAACCAUGCACCGAAGCUGCGGCAGCGACACGAUGUGUUGUUGGGUAGGGGAGCGUUCUGUAAGCCUGCGAAGGUGACCUGUGAGAGUUGCUGGAGGUAUCAGAAGUGCGAAUGCUGACAUAAGUAACGAUAAAGCGGGUGAAAAGCCCGCUCGCCGGAAGACCAAGGGUUCCUGUCCAACGUUAAUCGGGGCAGGGUGAGUCGACCCCUAAGGCGAGGCCGAAAGGCGUAGUCGAUGGGAAACAGGUUAAUAUUCCUGUACUUGGUGUUACUGCGAAGGGGGGACGGAGAAGGCUAUGUUAGCCGGGCGACGGUUGUCCCGGUUUAAGCAUGUAGGCUGAUUGUCCAGGCAAAUCCGGAUAAUCAAGGCUGAGGUGUGAUGACGAGGCACUACGGUGCUGAAGUAACAAAUGCCCUGCUUCCAGGAAAAGCCUCUAAGCAUCAGGUAACAUCAAAUCGUACCCCAAACCGACACAGGUGGUCAGGUAGAGAAUACCAAGGCGCUUGAGAGAACUCGGGUGAAGGAACUAGGCAAAAUGGUGCCGUAACUUCGGGAGAAGGCACGCUGGUGUGUAGGUGAAGUCCCUGCGGAUGGAGCUGAGACCAGUCGAAGAUACCAGCUGGCUGCAACUGUUUAUUAAAAACACAGCACUGUGCAAACACGAAAGUGGACGUAUACGGUGUGACGCCUGCCCGGUGCCGGAAGGUUAAUUGAUGGGGUUAUCCGUAAGGAGAAGCUCUUGAUCGAAGCCCCGGUAAACGGCGGCCGUAACUAUAACGGUCCUAAGGUAGCGAAAUUCCUUGUCGGGUAAGUUCCGACCUGCACGAAUGGCGUAAUGAUGGCCAGGCUGUCUCCACCCGAGACUCAGUGAAAUUGAACUCGCUGUGAAGAUGCAGUGUACCCGCGGCAAGACGGAAAGACCCCGUGAACCUUUACUAUAGCUUGACACUGAACAUUGAGCCUUGAUGUGUAGGAUAGGUGGGAGGCUUUGAAGCGUGGACGCCAGUCUGCGUGGAGCCAACCUUGAAAUACCACCCUUUAAUGUUUGAUGUUCUAACGUUGGCCCCUUAUCGGGGUUGCGGACAGUGUCUGGUGGGUAGUUUGACUGGGGCGGUCUCCUCCCAAAGCGUAACGGAGGAGCACGAAGGUUAGCUAAUCCUGGUCGGACAUCAGGAGGUUAGUGCAAUGGCAUAAGCUAGCUUGACUGCGAGCGUGACGGCGCGAGCAGGUGCGAAAGCAGGUCAUAGUGAUCCGGUGGUUCUGAAUGGAAGGGCCAUCGCUCAACGGAUAAAAGGUACUCCGGGGAUAACAGGCUGAUACCGCCCAAGAGUUCAUAUCGACGGCGGUGUUUGGCACCUCGAUGUCGGCUCAUCACAUCCUGGGGCUGAAGUAGGUCCCAAGGGUAUGGCUGUUCGCCAUUUAAAGUGGUACGCGAGCUGGGUUUAGAACGUCGUGAGACAGUUCGGUCCCUAUCUGCCGUGGGCGCUGGAGAAUUGAGGGGGGCUGCUCCUAGUACGAGAGGACCGGAGUGGACGCAUCACUGGUGUUCGGGUUGUCAUGCCAAUGGCACUGCCCGGUAGCUAAAUGCGGAAGAGAUAAGUGCUGAAAGCAUCUAAGCACGAAACUUGCCCCGAGAUGAGUUCUCCCUGAGACUUUAAGUCUCCUGAAGGAACGUUGAAGACGACGACGUUGAUAGGCCGGGUGUGUAAGCGCAGCGAUGCGUUGAGCUAACCGGUACUAAUGAACCGUGAGGCUUAACCUU